rnacentral:rRNA from 1 species
UACGGAGGGGGCAAGCGUUGUUCGGAAUUACUGGGCGUAAAGGGCGCGCAGGCGGCUGCUCAAGUCAGGCGUGAAAGGCCUGGGCUCAACCCGGGAAUUGCGCUUGAGACUGGGCUGGCUUGAGUGCGGGAGAGGAUGGUGGAAUUCCCAGUGUAGAGGUGAAAUUCGUAGAUAUUGGGAAGAACACCGGUGGCGAAGGCGGCCAUCUGGACCGCAACUGACGCUGAGGCGCGAAAGCGGUGGGGAGCAAACAGGG